GAUGAACGCUAGCGAUAGGCUUAACACAUGCAAGUCGAGGGGCAGCAUAACCUAGCAAUAGGUUGAUGGCGACCGGCGCACGGGUGCGUAACGCGUAUGCAACCUACCCAUAUUACAGGCAUAACCCGUUGAAAGACGGACUAAUUUCUGAUGGCACUUUAUUUUCGCAUGGGAGUAAAGUUAAACAUUUAUGGAAUAUGGAUGGGCAUGCGUUCCAUUAGAUAGUUGGUAAGGUAACGGCUUACCAAGUCAACGAUGGAUAGGGGAACUGAGAGGUUUAUCCCCCACACUGGUACUGAGACACGGACCAGACUCCUACGGGAGGCAGCAGUGAGGAAUAUUGGUCAAUGGACGGAAGUCUGAACCAGCCAAUUCGCGUGAAGGAAGACUGCCCUACGGGUUGUAAACUUCUUUAGCAGGGGAGUAAAGUCAGGCAUGUAUGCUUGAUUGCAAGUACCCUGAGAAUAAGCAUCGGCUAACUCCGUGCCAGCCGCCGCGGUAA
rnacentral:rRNA from 1 species